UACGUAGGUGGCAAGCGUUGUCCGGAUUUAUUGGGCGUAAAGAGCUCGUAGGUGGUUCGGUAAGUCAGGUGUGAAACCUCCAGGCUCAACCUGGAGACGCCACUUGAUACUGCUGUGACUGGAGUCCGGUAGGGGAGCGUGGAAUUCCUGGUGUAGCGGUGAAAUGCGCAGAUAUCAGGAGGAACACCAGCGGCGAAGGCGGCGCUCUGGGCCGGUACUGACACUGAGGAGCGAAAGCGUGGGUAGCAAACAGG
rnacentral:rRNA from 1 species